rnacentral:rRNA from 1 species
CACGUAGGGCGCAAGCGUUGUCCGGAAUUAUUGGGCGUAAAGAGCUCGUAGGCGGUCUGUUGCGUCCGCUGUGAAAACUCGGGGCUUAACCCCGAGCCUGCAGUGGAUACGGGCAGACUAGAGGUAGGUAGGGGAGAAUGGAAUUCCCGGUGUAGCGGUGAAAUGCGCAGAUAUCGGGGAGGAACACCGGUGGCGAAGGCGGUUCUCUGGGCCUUACCUGA